rnacentral:rRNA from 1 species
GACAGAGGAGCCAAGCGUUGUCCGGAUUGACUGGGCGUAAAGCGCACGCAGGCGGCCCGGCGCGUGGGGUGUGAAAGCUGGCGGCUUAACUGCCAGACGCCAUCCCAUACGGCUGGGCUCGAGCCCUGCAGAGGUCCAUGGAAUUGCCGGUGUAGUGGUGAAAUGCGUAGAGAUCGGCAGGAACACCCAGGGGGAAACCAGUGGACUGGCAGGACGCUGACGCUGCAGGUGCGAAAGCGUGGGAGCGAACCGG